AAGACUAUACUUUCAGGGAUCGUUUCUAUAGUUUGUUACUAGAGAAGUUUCUCUGAACAUGUAGAGCACGGAAACUGCAAGGAAGAGAUGGAGCAUUCUCUCCUGAGUGUGAAGUCACUUUUGGUGUUGCUUCAGUAACUUCCAUUUGCCAUUGAUGAUCCUUAUUCUCUCUCCUUGAAGAGAGUAAGAGGGAGAGAACACCGUCUGAGUGU